rnacentral:rRNA from 1 species
CGGACGGGUGAGUAAUGUCUGGGAAACUGCCCGAUGGAGGGGGAUAACUACUGGAAACGGUAGCUAAUACCGCAUAACGUCGCAAGACCAAAGAGGGGGACCUUAGGGCCUCUUGCCAUCGGAUGUGCCCAGAUGGGAUUAGCUAGUAGGUGGGGUAAUGGCUCACCUAGGCGACGAUCCCUAGCUGGUCUGAGAGAAUGACCAGCCACACUGGAACUGAGACACGGUCCAG